AGUCGAACGAUGAUGCCCAGCUUGCUGGGCGGAUUAGUGGCGAACGGGUGAGUAAUACGUGAGUAACCUGCCCUUGACUCUGGGAUAAGCCUGGGAAACUGGGUCUAAUACUGGAUACUACCUCUUGCCGCAUGGUGGGUGGUGGAAAGGGUUUUACUGGUUUUGGAUGGGCUCACGGCCUAUCAGCUUGUUGGUGGGGUAAUGGCUCACCAAGGCGACGACGGGUAGCCGGCCUGAGAGGGUGACCGGCCACACUGGGACUGAGACACGGCCCAGACUCCUACGGGAGGCAGCAGUGGGGAAUAUUGCACAAUGGGCGGAAGCCUGAUGCAGCGACGCCGCGUGAGGGAUGACGGCCUUCGGGUUGUAAACCUCUUUCAGUAGGGAAGAAGCGAGAGUGACGGUACCUGCAGAAGAAGCGCCGGCUAACUACGUGCCAGCAGCCGCGGUAAUACGUAGGGCGCAAGCGUUGUCCGGAAUUAUUGGGCGUAAAGAGCUCGUAGGCGGUUUGUCGCGUCUGCUGUGAAAGCCCGGGGCUCAACCCCGGGUCUGCAGUGGGUACGGGCAGACUAGAGUGCAGUAGGGGAGACUGGAAUUCCUGGUGUAGCGGUGAAAUGCGCAGAUAUCAGGAGGAACACCGAUGGCGAAGGCAGGUCUCUGGGCUGUUACUGACGCUGAGGAGCGAAAGCAUGGGGAGCGAACAGGAUUAGAUACCCUGGUAGUCCAUGCCGUAAACGUUGGGCACUAGGUGUGGGGGACAUUCCACGUUUUCCGCGCCGUAGCUAACGCAUUAAGUGCCCCGCCUGGGGAGUACGGCCGCAAGGCUAAAACUCAAAGGAAUUGACGGGGGCCCGCACAAGCGGCGGAGCAUGCGGAUUAAUUCGAUGCAACGCGAAGAACCUUACCAAGGCUUGACAUUCACCGGACCGCCCCAGAGAUGGGGUUUCCCUUCGGGGCUGGUGGACAGGUGGUGCAUGGUUGUCGUCAGCUCGUGUCGUGAGAUGUUGGGUUAAGUCCCGCAACGAGCGCAACCCUCGUUCUAUGUUGCCAGCACGUGAUGGUGGGGACUCAUAGGAGACUGCCGGGGUCAACUCGGAGGAAGGUGGGGAUGACGUCAAAUCAUCAUGCCCCUUAUGUCUUGGGCUUCACGCAUGCUACAAUGGCCGGUACAAAGGGUUGCGAUACUGUGAGGUGGAGCUAAUCCCAAAAAGCCGGUCUCAGUUCGGAUUGAGGUCUGCAACUCGACCUCAUGAAGUCGGAGUCGCUAGUAAUCGCAGAUCAGCAACGCUGCGGUGAAUACGUUCCCGGGCCUUGUACACACCGCCCGUCAAGUCACGAAAGUUGGUAACACCCGAAGCCGGUGGCCUAACCCCUUGUGGGAGGGAGC
rnacentral:rRNA from 1 species